UACGUAGGGGGCUAGCGUUGUCCGGAAUCAUUGGGCGUAAAGCGCGUGUAGGCGGCCCGGUAAGUCCGCUGUGAAAGUCGAGGGCUCAACCCUCGAAAGCCGGUGGAUACUGUCGGGCUCGAGUGCGGGAGAGGCGAGUGGAGUUCCUGGUGUAGCGGUGAAAUGCGCAGAUAUCAGGAGGAACACCGAUUGCGAAGGCAGCUCGCUGGAACGUAACUGACGCUGAGACGCGAAAGCGUGGGGAGCAAACAGG
rnacentral:rRNA from 1 species